AACAUUUUUCUUCAUCAAAAUACACAAAAGUAUUUAUACCGAGAACACCUUUUUUAGGAGAAAUUAUGGAAUCAAAUUUUAGAUGAAAUCUCACAUGUCACACCAUUAAAAAAGAAAAAUAUAAUUACAUUAUAUAUAAUAAUAAUAGUAAUAUAUAAAAGCUUUUUAAAAAACAUGAAGAGAAACGGAACUGAUUUAAAGGAUUUUCAUACACACUUUUUAUAAUUUAACAACACUAUAUUUUAAUUUAAACAUAUAUUCACAAUAUACUACAAUUAUCCGAAGGAUUAAUUUAGCUGAAAUAUAAUAACCUUUUGUGUCAGAUCCUAUAUAAUAAUAAAAUGAUGUGCUUGAAAAUCCUUUACAAAAAAUGAAUAAAGUAAAUACCAUGGUUGGUGCCAAUUUACUUAUUCAGUGGGUUUCAUUGUUUUUAUAUUACAUGAUUAAGAACAAUUAAAUAAAUUUUCAAUUUUCUCAUGACUUUGAGCACUACCAAAUGUUUUCAUGGUGGAAGGGCACUUCUCGCCUUCUUCCUAUUACAUUGACUCGACUGAAAGUAAAUGAUUUAAGGGGCGAAAAAUUCGGCUAGAGUAAAAUGGUCAAGUUUGGCUACCUGAUGUGUAAAGCGCUGUAACAUCCAUCAAGAAGUCAAAUGCUCUAAUCAAACAGUUCAAAAUCAACCUCUUUAUCAGCUAUAAAACAUCCUCAAAAUGUCCAUGUAAAAACAAUGACUUAAUCACAUAUUUUAAUUUUCUUUGACAGCUUCAUUUGCCUAAAGUUUCAAGAAAACAAUAAUAGAUGUAAGACAACUGUUUUUUGAAUGGAUUAAAUACAACAAUGACAUCAUUUAUAGAUAAAUGUAGAACAUACCUGGGGUGGUAUUUCAUUGCCAUCCACUGUAUAAAGUUCUACAAUCAAGUGAAGCACUACAAUGGAAAGAAUAAACAUGGCAUUAUAUUGUCAAAAUGAAUGAAGAAAAUAUGAAAGCUUGAUAAGAAAUAGUGAAUAUCAGUCAUGUCAAUUUGUCAGAGUGGGUUUUAGAAGUUCCCCAAAUCACUUGUGUAAUGUUCAAAUCAGUAAUAUCCUUUAAGCAUUAAAAAAAAGAAAAAAAAAAAGAAUUCAAGUUGAAGAUCCUGCAAUAAUCCAUGAAACUGCAGGCCAGAUCCUGUUGCAGAUCAAGUGUGACUGUUUCUCCAAAUAUCAUCCACUGAUACCUCUUAAGGUACAUGUCAAACAAACAUGUUAAUAAGCUAUACUAUACAAUGGUCAACCUGGAAUGGAACUUUGUUAAGUUAUAAGUAGACUUACUCACCAUCAGUUCUAUGUACUCGUACAUGUGAACCCAAGUACCUAUAAUCUGAGAAUGUAUUGAAUGCAUGUCUGGAAAAAUAAUAUUAUUUAAAGUAAAAUUAGCUUCAAGCUAAGUUGCACGGAAACGGAUACGGUAAUGGGAAACGGAUACGGAACGGAAACGGGAAACGGCAAAACCUUAAAAAUCAAGAUACGGAUACGGCAGAGAUACGUCAAUGUCAAUAUAAAUUUGUGUGUGUGUGUGUAUCUAUAUAUAUAUAGAUGUCAAGUCCCGCAAUGGAGGUUGAUCUAUUGAUGUAGUUGAUGAUCCUUGUGUUUCUUGAGAAGCCAUAAUCGAUGAUGUGAUUAGGAAUUAAGAGAAUCAAGAAUGGUGAUGAAUGAUGAUUGACGAUCCUACUGAAUUGUGAUCGACGAAUCGUCUUUGAUCGAGAAAACAGGUGACGACUCACGACAGGGGAGACUUUGAUUGACGAUCGGUUAGGGACUUAAGGGAAUACCAAAUACAUUUUGAGCCUUAAAAACAGCAGCCCAUUAGUCUUUUUUAGAUUUAAACUUAAAAAGCCAAUGUAAACCUUAAAAUAAAAUAGAAACGGCUAGGAAACUUCAUCGAAACUUUAAGGAAACUUCGCAGAAACGUUUCCAUGAUAUCCGAUACUUCCAGGAAACGUUUCCAAGGAGUUUCCAUGGAGUAUCCGUUUCAAUGGAGUUUCGGAAACGGAAACGGCAACCUUAGAGAAGUUUCCAUGCAUCAUAGGCUUCAAGAUUACCAGGAAGGUCAAGAAUCAGUUAUUUUAGGGUUGAAAAGAAAGAAACAAUAACAUACUUCCAUCUGAUCCAGGCAGUCCAAAUUAGCUCUUGUAAGCUAUAGAAACAGCUGGUUGAAUCGGAUAUUUCAUCAAAAACAUAGCGUGCAAAAUGAGAUACAAUUCCAAUUAAUAAGAAAUUCUUCGAAUACAACUAAAAAUACACUCCAAAUGAUUCCAUAGUAAAGAAACAAAAUUGAAGAUUAAGGGGUGACAAUGGUAGAAUCGGAAUAGCAGGGUAGUUCAUCUUAAUGGAAGUUGAAGCAAAAAACCCUUUUCAUAGAUAAUUAAUUCCUCCUGCAAGAAACAUCACACCAAAACAAAUGAUGAAAAAAAAAUUAAACCCAACUGUAGUUACUAAAAUCGUAUCACCUCCCUUGAAAUAAUUUUAAAUUUACCAAACUACCCUUCACCAUAUGGAACAUAGCAAUAGCAAGAGGAGAAAAACACACCAAAAACUCACUGUUAAUUAAUCCUGCAAGAAACAUGAGACCAAAACAAAUGAAAAAAAAAACAUUAAACCUAACUCUAGUUACUAAAUUUGUAUAACUUCCCUUGAAAUAAUUUUAAAUUUACCAAACUACCCUUCACCAUAUGGAACAUAGCAAUAGCAAGAGGGACAAAAACACACCAAAAACUCACUGUUAAUCCCCCCUGCAAGAAACAUGAGACCAAAACAAAUGAAAAAAAAACAUUAAACGCAACUCUAGUUCAACAACACUUGUGCUACCUGAAAUCACAAAACAAUAGACAAAAAUGACUAAAUUUUUUUAUGAAAAAAGAGAGGAUAACUACAAGGUAUAGAGGGUGAUAUGGUAAAUUACCU
rnacentral:lncRNA from 1 species